rnacentral:rRNA from 1 species
GGGGAAUCUUGCGCAAUGGGGGAAACCCUGACGCAGCGACGCCGCGUGAGUGAUGAAGGCCUUCGGGUUGUAAAGCUCUGUGGGGAGAGACGAAUAAGUGUAGUCGAAUAGACUGCAUGAUGACGGUAUCUCCUUAGCAAGCACCGGCUAACUCUGUGCCAGCAGCCGCGGUAAGACAGAGGGUGCAAACGUUGUUCGGAAUGACUGGGCGUAAAGCGUAUGUAGGCGGCUUUGCAGGUCGGAUGUGAAAUCCCUUGGCUCAACCAAGGAAGUGCAUUCGAAACCGCGGAGCUUGAGUGCCUGAGAGGAAGGUGGAAUUCUCGGUGUAGAGGUGAAAUUCGUAGAUAUCGAGAGGAACACCCGUGGCGAGAGCGGCCUUCUGGAAGAGCACUGACGCUGAGAUACGAAAGCAUGGGGAGCAAAC